AGUUGUGGCCGCGACUGCCCGGGAGUGGCGCUUGCCGCGGUCCGGGCUUGCACCCCGCUGGGCAAAGUACCCGGGGCUGUCACACGGCGAGCUGAGCCCUGGGCCGGCGGAUUGGAGGAAAAAAAAGUGGAAGCCCUGGGACCCACCAUCAUGAACAAUCGGGGAGAAGACAAGAGGCCAGCAAAGGAAUGAACACAGGGACGCAUGAGACAUUUGGUGCCGAAGACCUGGGUCAGCGGGACUCCUUUGGGAGACCAGUCCCCCAUCCUCACCCUCACUCUGUGAAGAGAUCCACCUACGACCUUGGGUCCUCAGACCAACCAGCCUAAGGAACAUCUCACCUAUUUUAAAUCGGGUAAGCGGCCUCUUUCUACUCUCUUCUCCAACCUCUCUCACUAUCCCUCAACCUCUUUUCCUUUCAAUCUUGGCACCACCCUUCAGUCUCUCCCUUCUCUUAAUUUCAAUUCCUUUCAUUUUCUGGUAGAGACAAAGGAGACACAUUUUAUCUGUGGACCCAAAACUCCGGCACAGGUCACAGACUCAGGAACACAGCCUUCCCUUGGUGUUUAAUCAUUGUGGGGAUGCCUGCCUGAUUAUUCACCCACAUUCCGUUGGUGUCUGAUCUCCGUGGGGAUGCCUAACUUGGUCAUUCACCCACAUUCCCUUGGUGGCAAGUUAAUUGUAGGGACAAUUGCUUUGGCUGCUCACCCACAUUGCAGCCCAGGGCUGCUCAUGUCACCCCUUCUCUCCGUGUCUCUACCCUCUCUUUUCUCUCCACUUUCCUGGGGGGCAAGCACCCCCCACCCCUUCUCUCUGUGUCUCUGCCCCUUUUCCACUUUCCUGGGGGGCAAGAACCUCCCACCCCUUCUCUCCGUGUCUCUGCCCCUUUUCCAUUUUCCUAGGGGGGCAAGUACCCCCCACCCCUUCUCUCCAUGUCUCUGCCCCUUUUCCACUUUCCUGGGGGGCAAGCACCUCCCACCCCUUUUCCACUUUCCUGGGGGGCAAGCACCUCCCACCCCAUUUCCACUUUCCUGCGGGGGCAAGCACCUUCUUUUCAAGGGCCUGUUUCCCUUGCCUCCAUAACUGUUGUGAGUAUUGACAGCCAGGCUUCUAAACCUCUUAAAACUCCCCAACUCUGGUGCCAACUUGGACAACAUUCUUUAAUGAACUCCUUUUUAGUUAUCCCACCUGCCCAGCUCGCUUAUUAGUUCAAAACAUUGUAACUAAAUUAUCUGCUUCCCUGACUAUUCCUGGGUUAAAGCCACACCUCACUACUGCCUUUUGCCCCAGUUCAAUGCCUCCUGCACAUCCUCUCCUUGUAUCUCCCCACCUUAAUCCACAAGUGUAGGACACCUCUACUCCCUCCUUGGCGAUGGAUGAUGCACCCCUUACCAUCCUAUUAAAAUCUAAUCACCCUUACCCUGCUCAGUGCCAAUAUCCCAUCCCACAGCACGCUUUAAAAGGAUUAAAGCCUGUUAUCACUUGCCUGUUACAGCAUGGCCUUUUAAAGCCUAUAAACUCUCCUUACAAUUCCCCCAUUUUACCUGUCCAAAAACUGGACAAGUCUCACAGGUUAGUUCAGGAUCUGCGUUUAUCAACCAAAUUGUCUUGCCUAUCCACCCCAUGGUGCCAAAGCCAUAUACUCUCCUAUCCUCAGUACCUCCCUCCACAACCCCUCCAUAACCCAUUAUUCUGUUCUGGAUCUCAAACAUGCUUUCUUUACUAUUCCUUGCACCCUUCAUCCCAGCCUCUCUUUGCUUUCACUUGGACUGACCCUGACACCCAUCAGGCUCAGCAAAUUACCUGGGCUGUACUGCCACAAGGCUUCACGGACAGCCCCCAUUACUUCAGUCAAGCCCAAAUUUCUUCCUCAUCCAUUACCUAUCUCGACAUAGUUCUUCAUGAAAACACACGUGCUCUCCCUGCUGAUUGUGUCUGGCUAAUCUCCCAAACCCCAACCCCUUCUACAAAACAACAACUCCUUUCCUUCCUAGGCAUGGUUGGAUACUUUCACCUUUAGAUACCUGGUUUUGCCAUCCUAAUAAAACCAUUAUAUAAACUCACAAAACCAAACCUAGCUGACCCCAUAGAUCCUAAAUCCUUUCACCACUCCUCUUUCUGUUCCUUAAAAACAGCCCUAGAAGCUGCCCCCACACUAGCUCUCCCUAACUCAUCCCAACCCUUUUCAUUACACACAGCCAAAGUACAGGGCUGUGCAGUCAAAAUUCUUACACAAGAGCUGGGACUGCACCCUGUAGCCUUUCUGUCCAAACAACUUGACCUUACUCUUUUUGGCUGGCCCCCACCCCCAUGACUGUAUCUCUCUGAUCCACCUGACAUUCACUCCAUUUCCCCGUAUUUCCUUCUUUCAUGUUCCUCACCCUGAUCACACUUGGUUUAUUGAUGGCAGUUCCACCAGGCCUAACCGCCACUCACCAGCAAAGGCAGGCUAUGCUAUAGUAUCUUCCAUAUCUAUCACUGAGGCUACCACUCUGCCCUCCUCCACUACCUCUCAGCAAGCCAAAUUCAUUGCCUUAACUCGAACACUCACUCUUGCAAAGGAAUUAUGCAUCAAUAUUUAUACAGACUGUAAAUAUGCCUUCCAUAUCCUGCACCACCAUGCUGUUAUAUGGGCUGAAAGAGGUUUCCUCACUAUGCAAGGGUCCUCCAUCAUUAAUGCCUCUUUAAUAAAAACUCUUCUCAAGGCCGCUUUACUUCCCAAGAAAGCUGGAGUCAUACACUGCAAGGGCCACUAAAAGACAUCAGAUCCCAUUGCUCAGGGCAACGCUUAUGCUGAUAAGGUAGCUAAAGAAGCACCUAGUGUUCCAACUUCUGUCCCUCAUGGCCAGUUUUUCUCCUUCUAAUUGGUCACUCCUAUUUACUCUCCUACUGAAGUUUCCACCUAUCAAUCUCUUCCCGCACAAGGCAAAUUGUUCUUGGACCAAGGAAAAUAUCUCCUUCCAGCCUCACAUGCCCAUUCUAUUCUGUUGUCAUUUCAUAACCUCUUCCACGGUAGGUUACAAGCCGUUAGUCUGCCUCUUCAAACCUCUCAUUUCCUUUCCAUCGUGAAUAUCUAUCCCCAGUCCUCCACUCUUGACUCCCUCUUGGAGUGGAUAGAUGAUCUUUGCUGACAGGACACAUUCCAACACUUUCACCCUGAUGAAGUCCUAUUCUUUACUUUUAUACUCACUCUUAUUCUUGUUCCCAUUCUUAUUGCCACCCUCUACCUCUCCCCAGCUAUCUCCACCACACUAUCAAUUUCACUCACUCUCUCCUAGCUAUUUCUAAUCCUUCUUUAACAAACAAUUGCUGGCUUUGCAUUUCUCUUUCCUCCAAAAUCACCAAGGCCUCAAUUUACUCACUGCUGAAAAGGGAGGACUCUGUAUAUUUUUAAAUGAAGAGUGUUGUUUUUACCUUAAUCAAUCUGGCCUGGUAUAUGACAACAUAAAAAAACUCAAGGAUAGAGCCCCAAAACUCGUCAACUAAGAAUAUAAUUAUGCUGAACCCCCUUGGGCACUCUCUAAUUGGAUGUCCUGGGUUCUCCCAAUUCUUAGUCCUUUAAUACUUGUUUUUCUCCUUCUCUUAUUCAGAAGUUGUGUCUGUCAUUUAGUUUCUCAAUUCAUACAAAACCACAUUCAGGCCAUCACCAAUAAUUCUAUAUGACAAAUGCUCCUUCUAACAACUCCACAAUAUCACCCCUUACCCCAAAAUAUUUCUUCAGUUUAAUCUCUCCCACUCUAGGUUCUCACACCACCCCAAUCCCACUUGGAGCAGCCCUGAGAAACAUUGCCCAUUAUCUCUCCAUACCACCCCAAAAAUUUUUGCCACACCAACACUUCACCACUAUUUUGUUUUGUUUUUCUUAUUAAUACAUGAAGACAGGAAUGUCAGGCCUCUGAACCCAAGCUAAGCCAUCAUAUCCCCUGUGACCUGCAUUUAUACAUCCAGAUGGCCUGAAGCAAAUGAAGAUCCACAAAAGAAGUAAAAAUAGCCUUAACUGAUGACAUUCCACCAUUGUCAUCUGCCCUACCCUAACUGAGAAGAUAUAUUCUCCCCCGCCCUUAAGAAGGUACUUUGUAUGCCUAUCCCAAACCUAUAAGAACUAAUGAUAAUCCCAGCGCCCUUUGAUGACUCUUUUUUCUGACUCAGCCCACCUGUACCCAGGUGAAAUAAACAGCCUUGUUGCUCACACAAAGCCUGUUUGGUGGUCUCUUCGCAAGGACGCAUGAGACAGCAUUUACUAUGCUAUUGAGAUUGCCUGUUGAACCUUUCUGCCUCCUCCAACAGAGAAUAAGUUUAUUGAAGGCAGAGAAUAUUUAUCCUUCACGCAGAACUUGAAAAAACAGUUAUAAUUUUUUAUUUUUUGAGACAGAGUCUUGCUCUGUUGCCCAGGCUGGAGUGCAAUGGCACCACCUCAGCUCACUGCAACCUCUGCCU
rnacentral:lncRNA from 1 species